rnacentral:rRNA from 1 species
UACAGAGACUGCAAGCGUUAUUCGGAUUCACUAGGCGUAAAGGGUGCGCAGGCGGCCGUGUGUGUGAGGCGUGAAAGCCCGGGGCUUAACCCCGGAAUUGCACCUCAAACUACAUGGCUAGAGCAUUGGAGAGGGUAGCGGAAUUCACGGUGUAGCAGUGAAAUGCGUAGAUAUCGUGAGGAACACCAGAGGCGAAGGCGGCUACCUGGACAAUUGCUGACGCUCAGGCACGAAAGCGUGGGGAGCAAAAGGG